CUUCAACGCUGGCGGCAGGCUUAACAACUGCAAGUCGAACGAGUGGCGGCAGGAUGAGAAAUGCUUUUGCAUAUGGCAUCUCUAGGGGGAUAACUACGGGAUACUGUAGCUAAUACCGCGUACAAUAGGCUGAGUCCAAGUGGGAUUAGGUAGUUCGUGAGGUAAAGGCACACCAAGCCGACGAUCUCUAGCUGGUCCGAGAGGAGGACCAUCCAUACUGGGACUGAGACACGGCCCAGACUCCUACGGGAGGCAGCAGUGGGGAAUAUUGCGCAAUGUGGGCAACCUGACGCAGCCAUGCCGCGUGAAUGAAGAAGGCCUUCGGGUUGUAAAGUUCUUUCGGUAGCGAGGCGUUAACUACAGAAGAAGCACCGGCUAACUCCGUGCCAGCAGCCGCGGUAAUUC
rnacentral:rRNA from 1 species